rnacentral:rRNA from 1 species
AAUGAACGCUGGCGGCGUGCUUAACACAUGCAAGUCGAGCGAGGCGGAAGGGGGCAACUCCUUCCAGUCGAGCGGCGGACGGGUGAGUAACACGUGGGUAACCUGCCCGGAAGUGGGGAAUACCUCGGGGAAACUCGAGCUAAUACCGCAUGACAUCUUUGGGACGAAAGUCCUGACGAUCAAAGCGGGGUCGCAAGAUCUCGCGCUACCGGAUGGGCCCGCGCCCGAUUAGCUAGUUGGGAGGUAACGGCUCACCAAGGCUUCGAUCGGUAACCGGCCUGAGAGGGCGAUCGGUCACACCGGAACUGAGACACGGUCCGGACUCCUACGGGAGGCAGCAGUGGGGAAUCUUGCGCAAUGGGCGAAAGCCUGACGCAGCGACGCCGCGUGAGGGAUGACGGCCU